rnacentral:lncRNA from 1 species
CGAGUAAAAGCGCCACCGCGCCAAUAUAAAAAUUACUCCUAUUCAUUAGAUGAAAUAAGAAUACGCAUAUUAAUUAACCCCCCACCAACCCCAUCCCCCUAUCUCUCGUAUUUUUUCCAAAACGAAACCCUAUCCUCUCAAUGUGUUUUUUAAUCUGAAAGCAUAUGAAGUCCUUAACAAUCAACUAUUUCAAAUUUUUCUCUCAAAGGCUGAAGACUCACGUGAUGUCUAUUUGAACUGGGUGAAGACUCAGAAACUGAUAAUAACAUGGUUAUCAAUUUGAACAGGUUUGUCACUUUUCUUCUCUUUUUGGUUGAAGACUAGAAAUUUCAUUUUAGUGAAUAUUGAUUAUAGAGAAUGAUAAUAUUUUGUACGGAUUCUGUUCAAUAUUUAUUGUUGCGGUGUAGGGUUUAAAGUGGGAGUAUUGAGAUGUGAGGAUGGCGGCUAUGAUUAGGUUUAAAGAUUGGGUGUAGAGCAAGGAGGAUGAGGGAAUAAAAAAAAUCUCCCUUUAGUUGUUUUGUUCGCGAGAAGAAAGAAAUGUAGGUAACAGAAGUCUUUCUCUGCUGAGAUGUCCCUUUGAAUGCAACUGUAAACACUUGUAUUUUUGGGAUUGUGAACGCGCUUCCUGAAAACGAAAAUAAAUACUGAAAGUUGAUUAAAUUAGAUGUUAUAUAGUCAAAAAAGUUUGUUUUUUUUAUUAUUCCGUAGUUAAAAAGAAAAAAAAAACUUUUUGACCCAAAUAUGAUGUGUUGUGUUAGGAAAGGAAAGGAAAGGAAAUUGUAGAUAUGUAAUGUUGUGGUGUCACUUGCGAAAUUUUCUCACUUUGUUCCUAGAUUUUUCCUGUUAAGAUAGGUGGGAUUAAAAUUCAUUUGGUAUCAAAAUAUUACUAGGUUGUUUGGAUUGGCUAUACUUAUAAGAAAUAUUAUUUGCUUGAAUGCAUGAAACCUCAUUAAAUAGCGUCAAAAUCCAUCUCUUAUGAAUAAAAUGCCUUUGAUGAAGCCUCAUCUAUUUAAAUUGUCCUCUCUAAUGUGGAAUUUGUUACAAAGAAAGCUGCCUACAGAUGAUAAGAUCAAAUCCUUUGGAUUUUGUUUUGUCUUCUAAUGAUGUGGUGUUAGACCUUGUGAAGAAAUUAUGGAUCAUAUAUUUUGUGGUUGUACUAUUAGUGCUUCAAUAUUGCUGAAUUUUUCACAGUAGUUAGGUCUUAAAAAUGUACAGUAGGGUAUUAGAAUGAUUAUAAAACAGUCUAAUUAACAACUCACGCUGGC